ensembl:lncRNA
CGCGCCCGGGGUUGGGGCGGCGCUCGGAGCUGCCCCGUCCGCCCGCUGCGCUCCGGGCUGUCGCUACGGCUCUGCGGCUCGGAGUGUCGCGGAAGGCGCACGGCACAGCAAGUUUUAUCAGCUGUUGUUUCUGCACGUCCUGAGCAAUAACGGCGCUGUUGGGCCCCUCCCUACACUGGGGUGACGGAGCUGUGCGGGACUGCUAUGGGGAGCGGCUGGGGGAGCUGGGAUGGGACAGUGUGGAGGAGAGGGGCUGAGGGCAGAGCUGUGAUGAGCUGUGGGUCGGACUCUGCUCCCGGGAACAGCGGCAGGACGAGGGGGUGGCCCCACGGUGCGACAGGGGAGGGCCGGGUUUUUAACUGCAGCUAAGAAAAUGGGAUUGGUGUAUGAAAUCUCAAGUUCUAUAAAGUCACUUUUGGCUGUACUAUUACUUCGCCGAUGCUUGUGAAGAACACACAGUUUGGAAACUACUUACUUCUGUGAUUAUUUUGGAUCGAGUCAAGGCAAAGUACCGAUACAGACACAUCCAGUUUCCAAACAGAAUCAUUCAGAAGCUUUCAAGGAUCACCUGCAGAUUCCCUCCCACGGCAACAGAAGACCAAAGCCCCACAUCUGGGACACGGCUGUUCAAACUGCACACAUGGUCCCAAAUGGCAAUGGUUGGUUCAGAUUUACUCUUAAAACGAUCAACAGAAGAUUCUGUUCCAGGGAAUGAGUCCCUUCAAAAUGAAGUGAAGGUUUCUGGAGGUUUUCACUGGAACAGAUUGCCCAAGGAGGCUGUGGGUGCCCCAUCC